CCACCCCCAGUGAGAAAUACCCCUCCCCCACCCCCUCCCACAAGGAACGCGGCCAGGACUUCAGGAAUAGUAAAUGAUGACUUUGAAUCCCGGUUUGAGUUCCACAAUAUCAAUGUGCUUCCACCUCCAGAGCCUUUCCAGAAAGUUACGCGUACCUAUCCUAGUAAAAACCCAAGGAAUCCUGCAAACAUGAGACAACAAGCUCCACCACCUCCUCCUCCUCGAUAGUAUCGAUCAUGUGGCUGUCAUGUGAAGAUCAUGUGACAUAGGACUUAAGUCUUGUGUGUUGGCGGUGAAAAACGAACUGAUGCUCAUAAUUCAAAAUGGAUGCACUGCAUAAAGAUAUUUUAUAUUGCUGGGAAACUAGCAAAGACAUGGGGUUUCAUGGGAAUAGGGAAUGUGGAAUCAGUCAAGUGGACAAAUUGAGACAAAAGCAGAAAACUAAGAAGAUAAUGAAGGAAAAAUUCAAUUAAAUAAAAUGGAUCAAAACAACUAGAUACAAGAUAUGUAGAAUGGUUUGGUUUAAAUGAAACUGAAACCAAAAUAUUGGAAAUUGAAGUAAGGCCAAUGAGUGUGAACAAAUACAGAGGAAACGAGGGAAUAGUACAUAUAUAAAUAUAUAUAUGUAAAAUGAAAGAACAUCUUAAGAUGCAGAAUUGAAUGAUUUAGUAUAACUGAAAAAAUGAGGCAGAUGAGGGACAUGAGGAGGAAAUUAUUUAUUUAAGAUAUAAUCACUCUUUUUAUGAUGACCAACUUUUUGUCAGUAUUGGAAGACUUGGGGUUGAAGGUAAAAUACUAAUAAUAAAUCUUUAGUAGAUAUGUGCGGAACAGGGCAACCCCUACUGUGUACGAAAGAAAUAUACAUGUUACACACCCAUGAAAAAUGCUUUUCAGCAGGUGAGUGUCAUCUUACUCCAAUACACUUGUGUGUAGAUGGCGCUUUCCCAAGACAGGCUUAAACUAACUUGCAACGACUGAAAUGGAAAAUUACACAGGCAAUUUAAUGUGAGCACAACAAUGUAUUGCCAUAGAUUGUGAUUUUGAUAUUUUGAGCAACUCCUGAUUCUGCUGAUUGUAAAUUAGUUUUCUUUUUUCGUAAGUGGCUUAUAUAGAAAUGGACAUAAUAAUGGAACAGUAUUUUCUGUGCCUCAGUCUUCCGUUGCUGCAAGACCUAUAAAAAACAAAUCAGAACAGCUUCUAAGUCUUAAGAUUUGUCAAGUCUACCAGUUUGUGUCAAUUUGAUAUUUAAAGGAGAAUUGCUGCAAAUUAAUAUUAACCUUUUAUCAAAGACAUUGACAAACACUUUUUUUUUUUUUUUUUUUACUCAGGACUUAAAUUUUGCUUGUUUGGGUGGGUCUUGGUGGCUUUGAAUAACUAUAGGUCAUGAACAGUGUCCAACAAAGUAGUUUGUUGUAUUAAUUUUCCAUUUUUUUCAAUAAAAACCUACCUGUAGUUGCUACAGUGUCCGUCACAGGUAUUCAAGGUUAUCAAAAUAUGUGCACUAAGUUUAUCACAUAGUGCAUACAGGGCACCUGAAAACAUAUUGAAAGAUUUGUCAGGAGUGCACAGACUUGGAAGCCUCUUGAUCGGUGUCAAGGUCAUCUGAGCUGUUGGAUUGCCUGACACACUACUAAAUUAAAUCAUGUCAUGGUGUAUUGCAUCAAUAUUAUUGUGUGUUCACACACAGGAUAAUCCAAAGUAAGACGGGCAGGUGUGAUAACUGUGAUCAUAAUGGAUGUAUAGAUAUCUUUUCAUGAACUUAGAUAAGAUUAAGUUCUCAACAAUUUAAUUAUGUUUCCCAAGUAAUGGUUAUAGAUAUAUUACAUGAUGAAUAAAUGUUUAAAUAAAUUGUAUACUGUACCAGAAGGUGUGUCAGGUCAUGUUUGGAGUUAUAGGUUUCUGCCGUCUAUAUAGGUAUAGGAGACGGUGACACACCUUGAGAUAUGGUCACUUAAAGGUGUAGGGCAAGAUUACUUCAGGACUGGCAAAGAUUUAAACUGUCUUGUUGAGCUGGAUAAAAAGACCUCAUCGAAAAAAUGAACUGACAGUAUACAAAUGUCAUCAAAAUCCACAUUCCUGGACCAAAUGUGCAUUAAUUGUAAGAAUGUAUAAACUUCCCUUUGUGGCACCUCACAUAAUUUAUAUGUAAUGUAAUAUAUAUAGAUUGGUAAAUGUGGAAGGGAUUGGAGCUCCUGAAAUCCUGAUUGGAUUCUUAUCAAAAUCUGGGUACAUGAUAUCAAGAUGCUCAGUAUUGAAAAUGGGGUUAGAACGAAAGGUGACUCUGCUACUUGCCAAAGCGCCAUUACUGCAUUGGUGUAAUUUUUUCCUUUACUGUUUGGAAGGUAUAUCUUGAAAUAUAUUUGUUGAAUUUAUAAAAAAACAGUACAAGUCCUAAAAUUCACUGAGAGAUUUGCAUACUCUCAAUGAGAGAAACAAGACUUAACCUCAUCUGUUCCUUGGGACACCAAUGAUGAGUUUUGUUGGGUAACAUUUUUCUUUCAAAAUGUUCUUUGUAUUACAGCAAGGGUUAGAUUAAUGGCAUUGUGAAAAAAAAAUAGAUGUAUUAUGAUAAGUUUUGGCAGAAGCGUCUGUUCUUGCCUUGAUGAAGUACAAAUUAGAAAAGAAAACAGUUGAAACAAAACUAUAUCAUAUGUGGCAGAAUAAUGCCUCGUUCAAUUUUGCUGCAAUUGUAUGAUUAUUUUCCCUAACAAAAUGGAUCUUGAAGACACUGUAUAUUAAGUGUCUGUUAGAUGGAGAGGACUUAAAUUGUUGAAAAUAAAUGAUAUUAUU
rnacentral:lncRNA from 1 species